GAUUGCAAACCUCGAUGUACCCGGGAUGCGUUCCGCGGUUGCGGGCCUGUCGACGCUGAUUUUGGUUUUCUUAUCUACGCGACAGUAGGUUUUGUUUGUUAAAAGCAAAUAUAAUCUUGACAAACAAACGCUUUUUAUAUCGCCUAAAACCCUCCUUCUGCGGUAAACAUUCGGUUUGAAUAGACACGCUGGAGGUUGAUUAGGGACAUCAUAUCGUAAUCUGACUUUCGCACAGCUGCGUGUUAACGUGCGACAAAUUAUAUUUUGAUUUAGAAAUUAAGUUGAAUAUUCAUUAUAUUGACUGUAGUGAUUCAUAUCGUUGAAACUUUCGAGAUUACUAGUAAGGGACGCAGCUAGACCUAUCUGUGCAUUGGUUAGAUCCCAGGUCAUCAUGUGACACGUACACGGUGUACUAUUGUGGAGGCUGAUUAUUCAGUUUACUGCUGAAACAUUUACUCGGAGUGUCGUCUGGGUACGAAACUGCGUUGGAACAAAAUACUAAUGAUUUACUCAGAAUUAUUAAACAAAUAAAUAGGUCUUUUUUAUUUUGGUUGAACCAUAUCCGACUUUAUUUUUUUUUAUUAAGCUGGUACUGUGCAAGAUAUUUUGAGUCGUGUGUGGAUUGUAUUUUAUUGGAUGACUUUUACUUGAAACAAAAUUAGCAGCUUAAAAUGUCUUGGUUAAAAUUCUGGGGAAAGAAAUCCUCAAAGAAAGCGAGGGCUGAUCUCGCGAGAUCUGAGUCAUUUAAGGAGGAAAGCGGCGUGCAGACCGAAACCGAAAAGGAAAAGAACGCGAGGCUACGACACACUAUGUCGAUUUCCAGGUCAGGACGGUUCAAACAGAAAAACAAACAACGGUCCGGAAUCUUAGACAAACCGGAAUUCUUUGAAAACGGUGUUGGUGGUGAAGGCCAAAAGGAGAAUAAUGGGAAUGCAAAUGGACAAUCGGGAACUGUGGGCGAUCUCGAUAGUGCCGUCGUCAGAUCCACGAAUACAAAUAAUAAUAGUCAGUACAAUGGAAGUGCAAACUUUGCUAGUGCUCACGAGAACAAAAGGACUCCGCCAAGCACCUGCCGAGAGGUGUCAACGCGUCAACCAAUCACCGCGCGUCAUUUUGAAGGCCAACAUACAGUACUGUGAUUUGAAGUGUGCUUGAUUAGUUGAUAUAAUAUGAUAAGUUGCUUUGUACAACAUUUAAAUUUGCGCGGUUAACACGUAUUUAUAUUUUUAUGGCACGAAUGCUUGUGCGAGAAAAUUGUUUCAAAAGCAAGUCGCGUGGUCACUUGAAUGAACAAAACGAAGGAAAAACAAGGA